UGAACGCUAGCGACAGGCCUAACACAUGCAAGUCGAGGGGCGAGCGCGGAAGUAGCUUGCAUUUCUGGCGGCGACCGGCGCACGGGUGCGUAACAGGUGUGCAAUCUGUCCAUAGUCGGGGAAUAGCCCAGCGAAAGUUGGAUUAAUGCUCCAUGUGAAUCGAAGCCGCAUGACUUUGAUUUGAAACGCAAGGACUAUGGGUGAGCACGCUUCUGAUUAGAUAGUUGGUGAGGUAACGGCUCACCAAGUCGACGAUCAGUAGGGGUUCUGAGAGGAAGGUCCCCCACAUUGGAACUGAGACACGGUCCAAACUCCUACGGGAGGCAGCAGUGAGGAAUAUUGGUCAAUGGGCGAGAGCCUGAACCAGCCAAGUCGCGUGGAAAGGAUGAGGGUUCUAUGGAUUGUAAACUUCUUUUGUCCGAGGGUAAAAAGGGCCACGUGUGGCUUCUUGCAAGUAUCGGACGAAUAAGCAUCGGCUAACUCCGUGCCAGCCGCAGC
rnacentral:rRNA from 1 species